rnacentral:rRNA from 1 species
CGGACGGGUGAGUAAUGUCUGGGAAACUGCCCGAUGGAGGGGGAUAACUACUGGAAACGGUAGCUAUACCGCAUAACGUCGCAAGACCAAGAGGGGGACCUUCGGGCCUCUUGCCAUCGGAUGUGCCCAGAUGGGAUUAGCUAGUAGGUGGGGUAACGGCUCACCUAGGCGACGAUCCCUAGCUGGUCUGAGAGGAUGACCAGCCACACUGGAACUGAGACACGGUCCAG